rnacentral:rRNA from 1 species
AUUGAACGCUGGCGGCAUGCCUUACACAUGCAAGUCGAACGGUAACGGGCCUUCGGGUGCCGACGAGUGGCGAACGGGUGAGUAAUGUAUCGGAACGUACCUUUCAGUGGGGGAUAACGUAGCGAAAGUUACGCUAAUACCGCAUAUUCUGUGAGCAGGAAAGCAGGGGAUCGCAAGACCUUGCGCUGAUUGAGCGGCCGAUGUCAGAUUAGCUAGUUGGUGAGGUAAAGGCUCACCAAGGCGACGAUCUGUAGCGGGUCUGAGAGGAUGAUCCGCCACACUGGAACUGAGACACGGUCCAGACUCCCACGGGAGGCAGCAGUGGGGAAUUUUGGACAAUGGGGGCAACCCUGAUCCAGCCAUGCCGCGUGAGUGAAGAAGGCCUUCGGGUUGUAAAGCUCUUUCGGCCGGGAAGAAAUCGUAUGGGCUAAUACCCUGUGCGGAUGACGGUACCGGCAUAAGAAGCACCGGCUAACUACGUGCCAGCCGCCGCAGUAAAAC